AGUUUGCUUCUUUAAUUAUGAUAAAUGAACAAGGACACAAAGAUUGUCUUGUGUAAUGGGAUGAAAACUAAUGCUGUACAUAACUUAUAAAGUCAACUAGGAUUAUUAUUUUUUCUUUACUUUUUGUGUGCAAAGUCACGUUUGUAUCAUCAAAUCAAUGGCAUAUUCUUCUGCUGAGGGCUCAACUGGAGACCAAUUGCAAUUGCAGGCCAAUAGAUGAGAUGCCAGAACACGCUGCCUCUUGUCUCCUUAAAUUGACUGAAUAAUCCGUUCUAGGGCAUUAUUCUUAUUUCUCUUGUUUCUUGAUUUGAAUUCAGUCAAUGGAGUUGUGUCUAUUAUACAUAUUGAAUGCUGUUUUCUUGAGCGGACUGAUAUGAUUCUGUAAUUUCAUUUCUUAACUUACUGAAUCAAAACUGCUCAGAGUUAUUACACGUCGUGCUGCUUAUGCCAAGCUUGAAGGACAGCGCUAAAUGCGAGCUAUGGGCUCUGAUGCUGGCUACAGUUGGCUUCAUAAGCUAUUUCUAAUGAAGGCUCUAAAGAUUUCAUCUGGCCUGAGCUAAAAUGAUAGUGACAGCUUAACACAUGCCAGGUUGCGUUCCAGGUCAAGGAAAUUUUUUGUAAAAAUGACGUAGAUGAACUCAUCACUUUUAUCUAAGUCUCCACUCAGAGAGUUGUCUCAAGGUUCAGCUUUGUGGUGAUGAUCUUUUCCAGCGGAGGCAACAUCCAUUUGUCCUCCUCCUACUCAAGUUCUCUAAUAAAAUUUUUUCUUCGUGUUGAAUAUUGAUGCAUCAGAGGUUGUUUGUUCUGCCUUUAUUGUAGUUUUAUAAAAUAAGUAUUAUUUAAUGCAAUAAUUGAACUGCGCUUCGAUAAUUGUGCUGUAUCCACAGACACAAAAAAUGUCUUGUCUAAUGGGGAUGAAAACCAUAGCUGGUCACCUGGUUCUAAGUCUUGUCUCCGUGUGUUCCCUCUUGAUCCAUGCAUCCAUGUUCAGGGCUUGACAUGGGAGAGAAGUGGCUGGGGGCCAGGGGGCAGCCAGGUCAUCAGGUAGACAACCCACGAGAGAAACAGCCCAGAAGGCUGCCAGCCACCUAGGCUGCCAGGAAACCAAGCCAGCAGGCAGCAAGGCAGCCAGGACUGCAGGGAUGCAGGCAAGGCUCCAGGCAUGCAGACGCUUACAUUAGAUAAAACCUGUUUCACAACAAGAGUCCGAAGAUUCCCUCUGAAUGGAGCCAAAAUGAUAUUGAGAGCUUUACACAUGCAUGGCUGGGCUGCUUCCCAGGUCUUAAAGCAAGGGAAAUUUUGUUUGUAGUCACCUACAUGAAUUGGAUACUUGGUUCAUUGUCUUGGCUUUCUGUGUGGAUUUUCACAAGGCUAUUUAUUCUCCCUUAAUUGCAGUUACAAUAAAUGAGUGUUAUUAAACUCAAUGUUUUUAGUUUGCUUCUGUACUUGUUGUUUACCAUCAAAGACACACUGAUUGUCUUGUCUAAUGGGAUGAAAACUAAAGCUGUUCCUGAGAUAUUCACAAGUCAACUAAGACCAUAAUUGUUUCUUUCCUUUUUCUGUGCAAAGUCACAUUUGUUUUAAAAUCAUCAAAUCAAUAGGAAUUCUUCUGCUGAGGACACAACUGGAGACCAAUUGCAAUUGCACGCCAAGAGAUGAGAUGCCAGCACACUCUGCCUCUCGUCUCCUGAAAUUGACUGAAUAACCAGUUCUCGUACAUUACUCUUGCUCCUCUGCUUU